rnacentral:rRNA from 1 species
CCUACGUGAGGCAGCAGUGGGGAAUAUUGCACAAUGGGGGAAACCCUGAUGCAGCGACGCCGCGUGAGUGAAGAAGUAUUUCGGUAUGUAAAGCUCUAUCAGCAGGGAAGAAAAAAGACGGUACCUGACUAAGAAGCCCCGGCUAACUACGUGCCAGCAGCCGCGGUAAUACGUAGGGGGCAAGCGUUAUCCGGAUUUACUGGGUGUAAAGGGAGCGUAGACGGUAUGGCAAGUCUGAAGUGAAAGCCCGGGGCCCAACCCCGGGACUGCUCUUGGAACUGCGCGGCUGGAGUGCAGGAGGGGCAGGCGGAAUUCCUGGUGUAGCGGUGAAAUGCGUAGAUAUCAGGAGGAACACCGGUGGCGAAGGCGGCCUGCUGGACUGUAACUGACGUUGAGGCUCGAAAGCGUGGGGAGCAAACAGGAUUAGAUACCCUAGUAGUC